UAUUUAGAGAGGCUGCUUGUAGGCAGUCUAGCACUUCAAAUAUAAAAAUCGUCUGGGAAAGGGGAAGGUUAUAUUUGAAAUGACAAAAAGAAGACACCUUUAGAUUUCACAGCAUGGCCUUCCUGAACCUGUCCUGGUCCUGAGGAGAGCUCUGAGGAAGCUGCAAGCCUUGGGCCCGUUCAAAUACUGUGGUUAUUGGGAUGCAGAAGAAGGCAGCUCGGCCGUGGCCGCCUUUGCAAUUCACCUUAUCCUCUGCUAUUCAAUUCAUUUAAUGGAGUCGGAUUACCACCCAUUUGAGCAAGUGCAGCUGGAAUUAGGAGAUGACAAGGAUGCAAAGAAAGUGUCAAGAACUCCUGAGGUGACCGAGAUGUCGGGGUGGCCCCUACCCCUCGCAGUCCCCUGGUGUCCCCCAGGGCCCCUGGCCUCCGGCCUGUGCCCACUGACCCCGGCGCAGACCUGCCUUUCUUCUCGCUGUAGCUCCGCAUGGGCAAGGGCCACCGCUGGGUUGCUUUGGCGCUUCAUUUGCCUCAUGACAGGCUUCUGCCAGCCCUGCAGGUUUCAGCCCUUGACAUGGCCAGGCUAGCCACACUCUGUCAUACAGGAAUAUGUAUUUAUUUAUAUGUGUAUAUUUUUAAAAGAUAAAAUUUGUAUAUACCUAUGUAUAUGCAUAUAUAUACACACAUACACAUGGAUGUUCCUGUAUUGGCUAGAAGAAAGAAUCGGCAUAAAGUAACUGCUGAAAUGUGGAGUGAGUACCACUGUGCUUACGCUUUUCUCCAUCCACUUGGAAAAAGUAACCCUGCAUGAAAACACAUGUAUGUGUGUGCGGUUACUUUUUUAAACAAUCCCUCAUAUUUGAUUGAAAUGGAAUAUGCCACCAUGUAUAUUUAAGAUUAAAGCUUUAUUUUUAAAGGCCUGUAAUCCUUUCAAGGAGAUUUUGUUGAUAUAAGACUUCAUUGGAAAGUAAUUGUGGAUUGUACAGCUCUGACCUUUGCAGGAAGCAGGGUGCAGGUCUGCACAGCUGAGAAAUACUGUGCAUCAAUUUCUUGUGAAGCCCCUGCAGACCAGCUAACUCUAAGGAGGCUGUGAUGCAUGCGAAGGAAAGUGACUGACUUAACUCAUUGGGAUUCAGGGAACGACCUGCCCUCUUUUGAAAAAAAAAAAAAAAGGAAGACGAAGAAAA